UAGAAAAGGUAGGAAAAAAAAUUAAAAGUGUGCUUACUGACAUAUCCGGCUUUAAGACCGGCAUGAUAUCCGGUAUCCAGCCAAAUAAUUUUUCAGUGUUUCGUAUCUCUAUUUUUAAUCAUAAAUUUAAGUUGUCUCUAUAAAAAAAAAAAGGAAUCUAACAGAGACAGUAAGUAGUGCAAGGUUAUUACAUUUUUAUUAAAUUUAAGGCAUGUAGGUUUUAAAAAUAAACAAAAUUAAAAAAUCUAAAUAUACUUGAACUGCGUAACAUGUUGCGGCAAAUACAUUGCACGGGUCUACGUUAAUUAGUCUUGAAGUUCGAUUUUGGCCACCAAUAACUGCUUUAGGAACGCCCCGUGUUGACAUGUUAAUGUACAAAAAAGGAUGCUGCCAAUAUGGCGGGCUAGUCCUUAAUCACGUGAGCUCAAUAUUUAGUAUCAGCUUUGUUGCUCUAGCGGUGUGAUUGUCGAGUUCUAUUUAGUUCAAAAAGAAAAAAAAAAUCAGUUAGUGUUUUCGUGGUCGGACUAUUAAGUGUUCGUCAGAAGAUCUAAUAGAAUCGUAAGCGUAUGUUAGACGUAUCGAGCCUUAGGCUACCAGCGAAUACGCAAAAAAAAAGAAUUAAAAUAUGAUUUAACAUCAUAUUUGUCCGGCAGACGAAGCAUACGACCCACUUUCCAGCGAUACCAGAGUCACACCCAAGCCGCUGCCUAUUGCUGAGGAUUGCCGGUGGUUUGAAGAAGGACAUAAUAUCAUAGCGCUUGUGAAACACCGAGGAGCCAAGUUCAUUUCAGAGCCGUGGCAGAGUAGGUACAUGGCAAAAAAACUUGGGAAAGAUCCCAUUGAUAAACGCAGCGGUUCCAGAUAGAAUGGACGAUCUCUGGUCCGAUGGCGGCCGGUGUGAUAAUAAAAAGGAGAUGGAAGUAUAAA